rnacentral:rRNA from 1 species
UACGUAGGGACCAAGCGUUGUUCGGAUUUACUGGGCGUAAAGGGCGCGUAGGCGGCAAUUCAAGUCAUCUGUGAAAUCUCCGGGCUUAACCCGGAACGGUCAGCCGAUACUGCGGGGCUAGAGUGCAGAAGGGGCAACUGGAAUUCUCGGUGUAGCGGUGAAAUGCGUAGAUAUCGAGAGGAACACCUGCGGCGAAGGCGGGUUGCUGGGCUGACACUGACGCUGAUGCGCGAAAGCUAGGGGAGCGAACGGG